AUUUAAAUAGCUUACAUAGAGCAUAAUAUUGAAGAUAUUAAGGAAAUAAUUUUAUUUUUAAGUA
rnacentral:tRNA from 1 species